CAGAGUCUCCUCUGGGCUACCCACGUAGCCCCUGCCCGAGCGAUCUGAGUCGCCACCAGCUGUGUCCGCGGAGAUCUGGGGAGCAAGAUGGGAGGGGUCUCCCGCUCCUCGUCCCCACCGGACACCAGGCACCACGUAGCCUCCGAGAGCCUCCCGGAAGCGGGGUCGCCUUGGGGAGCGGCUGAGGCCGAGGACCCGGGGGAAGGAGGAGCCCACGGACGGCUGCAGCCCCAGUUCUGACCUCGCUAGAGUUGGUGAGGCCACAUGAAACUGUUCACCCACCAUGGACUGAGCCGCAUGUGUGGGGAGUGGGGCCCUGUGGCUUCCCCCUGUGCCUCCAGGACACCGAGGUCCCUGUCACUCUGUGGAGUUCAACUUCCACUUCGCGGUUUAUGUGAUACCCAAAGUGGAGUGGGGGGCCAUAUCUUACACCUGAUCAAGGAACCUAAAGGGCUGAUUGAGGGAUAUGAGAAUGAUGCAGUUUCUGAGGAAGGUGAACCAUGUGCUGCCGGAGGUGGAUGCAUUGGAAGUCACCCUGCAAGACAUUACCAUGUGACUGUGUGAGUCAAUUCUCCUUAAUAAACUUCCUCUCAUAUAUG